AACUUUUGAGAGUUUGAUCCUGGCUCAGGAUGAACGCUGGCGGCGUGCCUAAUACAUGCAAGUCGAACGAAGGUAGUAAUACCUUAGUGGCGAACGGGUGAGUAACACGUAGGUAACCUGCCUUUCAGUUGGGGAUAACCGAGGGAAACUUUGGCUAAUACCGAAUUCGUGCUUCGAAGGCAUCUUCGGAGCAUAAAAGGGGCCUUUAAAGCCUCGCUGAUUGAUGGACCUGCGGCGCAUUAGUUAGUUGGUGAGAUAACAGCCCACCAAGACGAGGAUGCGUAGCCGACCUGAGAGGGUGAACGGCCACACUGGA
rnacentral:rRNA from 1 species